GUUUUGACUGAGUGGGGCUCAUCAUGUAGCUGACAUCACCUGCGAGAUCAGUAGUUGCUGUUUUUUCAUCCGGUGAAGAGGAAUGAUGACGGCUUCUCAGCUAAACAUGCAGAUAUUCUGUGAAUAAUCAUCUCAUUUCUUGAAAGAAAUUUAAUAGAUGAAAAAAGAAAAAUAGUUAAAGUGAUGGUCCCCUGGAAGCGAGGCCUGCAGUAGUUUGAAGCAACCCAUGGCAUCCCGCUUAAUGCCCAAUUUUCAUCCAGCAUCUAUACCACCUCCUUUGUGUGACCCUGCAAAUAUCCUCUGGGCCUCUUCAUUAGUCUACAGGGCCUGUGUGCAAAGCCUCUCCAGUUAAUUUGGCCCGGCAGGACUGUUUUCCCCUACUGGAGAUCAGCGGGGGAAAAAAAGAAAAAAAACCUCCCUCAGUCGCUCAAAGAUUCAGUUGAUGCAAAUAUCUAUAGCGGGUUUCUGUGUCUCUGUGUUUUUUUAAAAUAUUUUUUUAACAUAUUCUCUUCAUCCAUUUUAAGUGCUCCAGCAAAUCUCUCACACCACUCAUCGGCUUGUUUAUGGCCAGCUCUCCGGUCUGAUCUUGUCAUGCGCCGGUGAUAAGAGCGCGGCGGUGGAUCAUGGCUGUAACAAUUUUUUUUUUCCUUGUCUUUUUUCUGCAUUGUUUGGCCGACCACUUGCUGCUACAAUUGACCUGCGAGUGGAGCUGAUGACCAAGAUGACUGACCCCCGGGGAGCCCGAGUCAGGGAAAUCAUGCGAGAGAUGGAGAGAGACAGAGAGGGAGAGCAAGAGACCAAGACCAAACACACCAACACACACACACACACACCAACACACACACUGUACUGUGCCUCCACAGCGGCUGAGCCCAGUGUAUUUCUGAGAGGGAGAGACGCCACAUUUAUGCAGCGCGAGGCCGUCAUCUUCUUCUGGGUCCAGGAGUUCCUAGCGAGAUGCUGGCAUGACGCGCCCGGCUCUGACAGGUGCUGCCACCCCGACAGCGAGGCUCGGCCACCAACCAGACAAGAGUUGUCUGCUCGAGCCGCAAGAAGACCCAGGACCGUGCUGGGAGCGUGAUCCCAACUUGGCACCGAGCGCAGCACCAAUCGCUGGAGCCGCUUUAAUUGUGUCACUCUUGGGGGAGAAAAAAAAAAAAAAAACAGAAAAGAAAUGGCUGCAGUGAAGUAUGAAACCAUGAGCACAACAUUCAUUGUUACACCUUCAGUUUAAAGGUGCAUUACGUAGUAUUUGGGGAAGAAAUGUUCAUCAGAAAAGAUCAGAUCUGUUAUGCCAAACUAAAUAAACAAACUUGGUGUUCAUACUGAAUAAAAAAAAACCACUUUA